UGAUCUUCUGUAUCCUGUGGAAGACAUUUGCAGGAGAUUAUAACUCAAUUUAGAUGUAAAUAAUUUAUAAAAUUUAUUCUCAUUGUCGUUGAUACAUAAAUAUUUUACAUAUGUUCCCAAGAAGAACCAAUCUGGUUUGACACCGUUACAACAAUACACUUCCCUCUUUGCAUCCCUUAAUUCAACUCAUGAUACAUGAAGAUUCUGUAUUUCAACUUGCAGUGUUCUUAGUUUUUCCUUGACAUCUGAUAAUUCAUUUUGAACUUUUAAAAGAUUGUCCAGUCUUUGUUGGGAAGCAUCUUGAUAAGGCUUGCCAAUUGUUUUUACAAAGUUUUCCAAAUUCGCAGCAGUUUCCAAGAGAUCUUUCUGCAUUGCCUCUUCAACUUCACGAGCCAAGCCAUCUGCGAUCCUACAUAUCUUGUCUAUUACGCCUCGCUUGCGGGAUGGGAAGUUCGAAAUUGCUAUAAACCCUCCUGCAGAACAAAGGCCAAGAGCAAGAAGAUCUUCUAAAGUGGUAGGUAGCACAGAUGUCAGAAGAGAGGCAGAUAAACCAGCAGCUCCUAGUCCACCAAAUGUUCCCAGGUACACUUCGCGUAUUUCCUCUUCAAACAGCUUGGAAGCUGCACCAGCACUGAAGCUCUCGAUCACUUUCAAGCUGAGGUCAUCAACCUUUUCUAGUAACUCAUAGGUCUCCAAAUGCAUCUGUGUGUUUGAAAUGAUAAAUGAAGGCCAUCUUUUUUCAAAAGAUUCUUUGUAUAGCUUCGCUUCACGAGCACUAUUUGAUUUUAACCAUGAUGCAUAUUCUUCAAGUUCUUUCUGCAUGUACAAAUAACAGAAAAAAAAUUUGAUAAAUAAAUGAUAAGCAAAUGUUAAACAAUUAGGGGCAAAUAAAUCUAAAGAUAUGUGGCUUAAAAAAUACUGAGGAAACAUGUUACAACAAAAUACAGGUGUGGUAGAACUUCAAACUGAAAGCACUAAACAGAUGCAAAACACCAUUCCAAUCACCUAAGCAUUAACCCCACAAAACAGCAAUCAAUGGUUUUAGGACUUCCAAAGAAAUAAAGAGAAAACAAUGAAAGAUGAGUUAAAUUUAUCAUUACACAAGAUUGGACACGCUCAAGUCAGUUCCUAAACGGGUCAGAUCAAUCAACUCACUUUUGCAUCUAAAACUGCAGGACCAAUUAUAUCAUUUUGAACCCUGAAGGCUGCUGGAGUCGUAGCAGAUUUUUCCCCUUUAAAAACAUAUGCUGUAGCAAGAUCAAUAUUUGAUAUUUGUAGAGUGGAUUCUACAAGCUUCAGAACACUUGAUUUUGUCGUUUCUAUCAGCAACAAAGUUUUUGUUCUCCAAGAGAUGCUCUCCUUUUCCAUUUUCCUUGUCAACUCUUUCACGCUAUCAGCUAAUUCAGUCAUAUUGGUCAGAUCCUUCUCGGCAUACUGGAGUUCUUGUUUCACAACAGUUUCACAAGUAGAAAGUAUUCGAUCAGCAAUUGCAAUUGGUGUUUCAAGUUUAAGCUUCAUUCUUUCCAUUCCUGUUUCUGUUGACCCAUCUAAAAAACUAUACAAGAAUCUCUCAAGUUCAUAGAAGCUACUGAAUUUCCAAUGAUAAUCCGAAACUGAUGACUCAUUGUAAUCUAUUUUAAUGUCAGAAGAAGCUGACAAUUUUGCUUCAAGAGCACACCUAGCAGAGACUGGAUAUAAUAUCACAUUUUCAGUGUUCAGCAAAUUCCUUGUGUUCUCCUUGACGAAUGAUAUGGCUUCCUCAAGCUAAACAAAUCAUGAUGAACGAUUAAGAAUGCUUGUAAAUUGCUUAACAGCUCUAGUAAACAUAAAGCAUAACAGGCUCACUACCAGAAAUACAGACAAAACAAUUUCAAAAAUGGUUCAAAAAUAACCUCACUGGUAUUCUGAUAGAGAUCAGAUUUAUUUAACACAAACACAACUUUCUUCUUCCACUGUUGAGUGUAACGCAGAAAAGCCACCUGAAAAUAAUUACCAGGAGUGAAACCCAAAACAUCUUGGAAAUAGCUAAAAAUUGGAAGAGAUGUUUCCUAAAUAUUAGUCCAUUACAGUAAACGUACAAAUACGAGUCACUAAGACAAAAUAUAUAGAUUAUCACCAAAACAUUUAGCGAAAUUGAACACUUCUCUAGAUUAUACAAUAUUAUAAUAAGCAUGGAAAGUGUAAGCAAUUGGUUUUGAUCUACACAGAUGUCCGCAUCAAUUUCAAUCCCGAAAGUUUCUACUUUCAAACUCUCAUACUUGUGUUGUUACAACAAGAGUCCAAUUCACCUUUAAAAUGAAUGAAGAUAUCUUUACGGAAUCCUCGAUGCAAUCUAAUAUUGCAAUGCAGAGGAGCAACAAACAAAGUUUCCAAGCAAUGAAAUAUCUUAAUAAAAUUUUCAUAGACAUGAAGCGAUAUGCAUAAUAGGUAACUGCAAAAUCCAUAAAUCAUCAUAUAAAACCCUUUAUCUUUUAAAACAAUAAAAACUUAAAUAGCAUGACAUAUGACAUUCAACAUGUUCAACCACUCAUGUAUACCUCACUUUCGGUUAGUGGGCGGUCAGCAGAAAUGACAAACAGAAGCAAAUCUGCACGAGGCACAAAUUCCUCAGUAAGGCGUUGUUGCCUUUGAAGAAUGACAUUAGUCCCAGGUGUAUCAACAAUAUUCAUCUGUUUGAAAGGUAAAAAAAUUAAAUAGAUUAGUUACAUCACAUAAAGCACCUACCAUGAAGUGGCAUAUAAUUCUACCAUUUAAAAGGCAUGCCCUUACUAAAACAGGCUAGACAAUAGAUAUGUUAUCUCUCAAUUGGUUUCACUCUUCUACUACAUUGUGCUUUACUUUUCAAGCUAUCUUUCCUUUCUGUUAUCAUAGUGAAAACAGAGUAGAUCACCAGCACUCAUUUGUCAAAAUUCUCUUUGAGGCACCUCAAAUAUAUUUUGUUUCAAAGUGGAUUGUUGAGCUGCCCAUAUGGCUUAUAACAUUGCAAUAUUAGUGCAAAACUUAUCAUUAACUUCCAUAUCAUGUUUUAAUAAGAAAAAAAAUAAAUAUUGUAAUGCAACAAGGAAAACGUUAAAUUAUAUCACUACAGUAUAAAGCAAAAAUAUCAUGUUAUCUGAAAAAGAGUAACAUAGUUACUUUAUAGCAUACAGCACAGAUUUCUCAAGAUUAGCGGCUGUUAUCAGUAAAUUCAAUCCAGUUUUAAAAUAAUGCACAGGAAAAAGUUUUGCGUUGUAAAGGAUCAUCGAGAUAGAGUGUUAAUUAAGCUGACUAGCAACUCAUACUUCAUGCUUCUUUGCACUCUGAAAAGAAUUUGUGUACAUGUAUAUGUGUGCAUAUACAUACAUAUAUAAUACCUAGAAAUCAUCGGAACCAGUACUUGAAGGAUUAUAACAUCUAAGAACUGAAAUUAGGGGUAUACAUGAGAUCAACCUAAAUACUCACUUCCUUAAGAAUUGGAGCAGCAAGGUAACAUAUAUAUUGACCAUCAGGAUGCCUUUCACAACGUUGUGGCUCUUCAGAAUUAUAGUCAGAGUACCGUAAGAAAGUAAUCUCAUUGGUCGUCGGAACAACACCCUCUUUAAGGUAUCUUUCUCCAAGAAGUGCAUUAAUAACAGUCGAUUUACCAGAAUUAAAUUCACCCUGGAGCAGAGAUAAAAGAUUCAUGGAGAGGAAGGGGGAAAGUACUUUCAACAGCAUUUUCAUAAAGUUAAUGGCAUGAAUAGCAAGCCAAUCUCUAUCAAAUUCUGAUUUCUUGCCAAUGAAGUCGUUUAAAAAAAAAUUACAAACAGAAGUAAUCAAAGGAUGAAAAAGAAAGAAAUGUAAAUUUCAGCAACUUCCCCAAGUUUCAGCAUAUUAAUAGCUCCUAAUAACACUUGCCUCAACCAAAAUGUAAGCAAAAUAAAGAAAAUAGCUAUAAGUACAAGGAAAGCAUCCUUAAAAUGUAGGAAAGACAGAGGACACGUGAAUGGACAGAACAUAUAGUCCCAAAAAAAAAAAAAAGUAGCUCGCUUGCAAAGG
rnacentral:misc_RNA from 1 species